CCCUAGCCCAGAUUGCAGCAUUGUUUAAGCUCAUUUUUUUGAUUUCGGCGCGGCAGCGAAGCUACCGCGCCGAAAUCAAAAAAAUAGCGAGUGCGGAAAGCUGGAUAAAGC
rnacentral:misc_RNA from 1 species